UCCGGUGAUUCUAGCGAGAGGGAAACACCCGAUCCCAUUUCGAACUCGGAAGUUAAGCCUUUCAGCGCCGAUGAUACUUGCCUUGGUGGUGUGGGAAAGUAGGUCAUUGCCGGUU
rnacentral:rRNA from 1 species